rnacentral:tRNA from 1 species
GAAAGAGGCUUGCAGCAACAAAGGCCGCUACCCUUCGUUACUUCGGUUGGACUCCGAUGCUCUUUCA